UACAGAGGUGGCAAGCGUUGUUCGGAAUUACUGGGCGUAAAGGGCGCGUAGGCGGCCCGUCAAGUCCCGUGUGAAAGCCCCCGGCUCAACCGGGGAACGGCGCGGGAAACUAGCAGGCUUGAGUUCGGGAGAGGGAAGCGGAAUUCCGGGUGUAGCGGUGAAAUGCGCAGAUAUCCGGAGGAACACCGGUGGCGAAGGCGGCUUCCUGGACCGACACUGACGCUGAGGCGCGAAAGCGUGGGGAGCAAACAGG
rnacentral:rRNA from 1 species